CCUGUCUGCUACUCACACCCGUAUGGCCAAAUCACGCUUGCAGAGCGGCUCCUUUCCUUUGCAAUAGCCUGCCUACCACCAUCAGACUCUCCCCUAGUCUUCAAUUGUUUAAGAAGUGCCUUAAACCCAUCUCUUCAGGAAAGCUUAUUGCCUCCCAGAGUUACCUCUACCUCACAUACCUGUCCCUUGCUCUCUCCUAAAGGGCAACUCUCUACUCUCUCCUCCAGCCCUGCC